ACUGUCACAAAUAUUUAUAAAUGUGGAGUUAACAAAACAGGUAAUUUGGUGUUGUGUUAAGAACACUGGUCUGCCAUCCACAAAGCCUAAAAUGUUGUUUUGCUGUCAACACUUAGGAGCUAUGGGGCCCUCAGUAAUAUGCCUUCGCCUCCAUGCAACUUAAUUACCCAUCCGCAAAAUGGAAAUACUGCAGUUAUGUUAGUGGUCACAUAGCCUACUCUCUACCUUUUUGGAAAGGAUCGCUAUUUUGCCUGAAAACUUCAUUCACAGUGAGGAAGCAAAAGGGAACAACUACUAAUGCAAUGGAGCGUAAAAAGUAAACAACUCUUUCAUAAUGAGUUUAUUUUCCAUAAUUUAUAGCAUAGGUAACAGAAUCAUUUUGCAAAGACACGGACUAGAGAAGAAUAAAAGAGGCAAUUAUGAUCAUUAGAGGUGGCUUCGGAGGACCACGAGACAGCACUAUGGACAAACAAAAUGCACUACACAACAUACUCCUCCUGGGGGGCAGUCAAAACACAGAAAUGUAGAUCGCUCAGUCACUGAAACGGAUUGACUUGGCUGUUCUAACUUCCACACCGAAAGGAAGACAGGGUGGUGAUGGGGGGAGAGUGAUUACUCCUCAAACAGAGAGUGAUUUAACACCACCACUGGCUAUGUGACAGAUAAACUAAUUUGCCCAAAUCACUAAGCUUGGGUUUUUCCACCCACAUUAAUUUGGUUGCUUGCACAUGACAACAGCAUCAUUUAUUGGUGACAGGAUUCAAAGACCUGGGCAUUGCAGCUAGCAGGAGAACACAAACAACUCAAGGCAGGACGCUACAGCCAGUUCAGCAGCUUUUGCUCCUUCAGUGACCACAGUGCAGGGGAGCCCGUGGCUGCUUUGAGGGCUUGAUGUGGUAUUGAGUCAAACUAAAUUUAAACCUUUUACCUAAACUGCUGGUAUUCCUUCUAUCCCAAAUCUUUGGAAGCCAUUGAAAGUGAUGCAAAUGUGUCUCAUGGCCAAAACAGCAGCCUGGAGCCUGUGGCUGGCUGGUUUUAUUUUUAGGAUUAUGGGAGACCUCCAUCAAGGCUCUUUCUUUUACUCUGAACCUCAGUUUCCCAGAUGUAGGAAGGAGAGACCACAGCAGCUUGGGGAAUGGCAAAAACCUGGACUUUGUGGUCAGAUAGACUAAGGUUUGAGUCUCACCUUCAGGACCUCCUGGUUAUAUAACCUCCAGUAAGUUACUUUACUUCUCUGAGCCUUGCUUUUCCAAUCUAUUGUAUGGGAAUAAUAAUAAAUACCUGCUUAGUUAAUUACUUCAUUCAUUCAACAGACAUUUAUUGAGUGCCUCCUAUGCACCAGGCAAUAUCCUACCUGAAUCCACAAAGGUAAGUGAAAUAGACAUAGUUCCUGUCCUCAUGGAGCUUAUGGUCCACUGUGAGAAAUAAAUAACAGACACAAAGUACGUAGUACUAUGCCUGGCGUUUUUUUUUUGUUUUUUGUUUUUUUUUUUUUUUUUUGAGAUGGAGUCUCACUCUGUUGCCCAGGAUAGAGUACAGUGGCGCUAUCUUGGCUUACUGCAAACUCCGCCUCCCAGGUUCAAGCAAUUCCCCUCCCUCAGCCUCCCAAGUAGCUGGGAUUACAGGUGCCUGCCAUCAUGCUUGGCUAAUUUUUGUAUUUUUAAUAGAGAUGGGGUUUCACCAUGUUAGCCAGGCUGGUCUCGAACUCCUGACCUCAAGUGAUCGACCCACCUCGGCCUCCCAAAGUGCUGGGAUUACAGGCAUGAGCCCCCAUGCCUGGCCUAUGCCUGGCUUUUAAUAGACACUGAAUACAUGUUUUGAGUUAACCAGAAAUUUAAUUAUUGAAAUUCAAUAGCAUUUUGAUAUCUACUAAUUCCUUUUUCAGUUAUCCCACUCCUCCCUUAGAACCUGUGUACAUGAUGCUCUCUCUGUCUGGGUUUGUUUCUUCCCCAGCUAGUCACAUGGCUCCCUCUCUCACUUCAUAUCUGUACUCAAACAUCACCUCUUCACAGAGGCCAUUCCUAACCAUCUGUUCAAAUAGCCCUCCUACUUCUAUCACACUAUAUCCUCUUACCUUGCUUUAGACCCAUUCUUAAUGGAUUUAAAAAUCAUUGGUGGAGCAUGGUGGCUCGCGCCUGUAAUCCCAGCACUUUGGGAGGCCGAGGCGGGCAGAUCAUCUGAGGUCAGGAGUUCAAGACCAGCCUGGCCAACAUGGUAAAAUCCCAUCUCUAUUAAAAAUACAAAAAUUAGCUGGGUGUGGUGGCAGAUGCCUGUAAUCCCAGCUACUCAGGAGGCUGAGGCAGGAGAAUCGCUUGAACCUAGGAGGCAAAGGUUGCAGUGAGCCAAAAUCACGUCAUUGCACUCCAGCCUGGGCAACAAAAGCAAGACUCUGUCUCAAAAAAAAAAAAAUUAUAUUCACAAAAAAAUCCCUUAGAGUUAGGGCAAGUUUUUGUGCUAAAGUCUCUACAAUAAAAUAUUAUUAUUAUUAUUAUUAUUUGAGAUGGAAUCUCACUCUGUCACCUAGGCUGGAGUGCAGUGGCGCCAUCUUGGCUCACUGAAACCUCUGCCUCCCAGGUUCAAGUGAUUCUCCUGCCUCAGUCUCCCAAGUAGCUGGGAUUACAGGCGCACAUCACCACACCUGGCUAAUUUUUGUGUUUUUGGUAGAGAUGGGGUUUCAUCACGUUGACCAGGCUGGUCUCGAACUCCUGACCUCAGGUGAUCUGCCCACCUUGGCCUCCCAAAGUGCUGGGAUUACAGGUGUGAGCCACCGCACCCAGCCAAAAUCAUGUUUUUAAAAGAAAGAUUUGAAGAUACUUUACAAUAAAAGAUAUAAGAAUGCAGUAAGCACACAAAAAGAUGCCCAGCAUCACUAGUCAUCAGGGAAAUUUUCUUUUCUUCUUUCUUUCUUUCUUUUUUUUUUUUUUUUUGAGACAGUCUUGCUCUGUCACCCAGGUUGGAGUGCAGUGGCGCAAUUUUGGCUCACUGCAUCCUCUGCCUCCUAGGUUCAAGUGAUUCUCGUGUCUCAGCCUCCCAAGUAGCUGGGACUACAGGUGUGUGCCACCAUGCCUGGCUAAUUUUUGUGUUUUUAGUAGAGAUGGGGUUUCCCCAUAUUGGCCAGGCUGGUCUUGAACUCCUGACCUCAGGUGAUCUACGCACCUCAGCCUCCCAAAGUGCUGGGAUUACAGACGUGAGCCACCACACCUGGCCUGGAAAUUUUCAAAAGGCUAAUACUGCUAAGUGUUGGCCAGGAUGUAGAACAACUGGAACAUUCAUACACUGCUGAUGGGAGUACAAAAUGGUAGAGCGACUUUGGAAAGCACUUUGGCAGUUUCUUAUACAGUUAAAUUUUACACAGACCAUGCAACCUACCAAUCUCGAUCCUAGGUAUCUACCCAAGAAAAAUGGAAAACAUACAUACACAUACAUAUAAGGACUUGUACAUGAAUGUUAAUGGCAACAUUAUUAAUAAUAGCCAAAAACUGGUGACAACCAAAUGUCUAUCAACUGAUGAAUGGAUAAACAAAAUGUGAUCUAUUCAUACAGUGGAAUAGUACUCAGCAAUCAAAAGGAAAAACUACUGAUACAUGCUACAGCAUGAAUGAAUCUUGCAAACAUCAUUUUAAGUGAAAGAAACCAGACUCGGCUGCAAACUGUCUGAUUCCAUCUACAUGACAUUCUGAAAUCAGAUCAUCGUUUUCUGGAAUCAGGAGCGUGGGAAAGGACUGACUAUAAAUUAGCACAAGGAAACAUUUUAGGAUGAUGAAAAUAUCUUCAGUGUGGUAGGGACAUAACUAUAUACAACUGUUAAAACUCGUCAAGCAGUACACUUAAGACGGGUGAAUUUUUUCAUAUUCAAGUUCUGCCUCAAUAAAGCUGUUCCAAGAAUGUUAAAUAUAUUGAGAGAUAUAUGCACAGAAAAGGACGCUAUACUUGUCUCUUGCGGUAGGAUUUUGGGUGCUUUUCAUUUUCUUGUCUUUGCUUAUUGAAAUCUUGUAAAAUUUCCACAAUGAUUAUGUAGAGCUUUUGUAGAGAGAGAGAAAAACAACAAUAAAAUGCCAUGAUCAUAAAUAAUUGGGUUAUUCAACAAGGAAUGUAUUGUUCAUUCAACAUUGUUCAUUGUAAUGAAGCCCAUUUAGACCGCCUCCUUCUCAUCUAUCUUUCAUCAGUGACACUUCUGAGGGGUGAGCUGAGGAAACGGGUGCAAAAAGGUACAGAGCUUAAUAGCAAUCCUUUGUCCAUCCAGCUCUGGGCUUGGCUCUCGCCUUGCUUUUUGGAUGAAUACACAGUAGACUAAUGAUAGGGGGGCUCUCAUCUUCCUUUGCCAACUUCGCCCUCCAUUCCAAUGCAGAUCAGCUCAUGAGUCCUCCAGGCCCCAAGAGAGACUCCUCAGCACAGGGCUGGGCAGACUGUGGUUUGUGGGGUGCAGGCCCGGCAUCCGCCUCCAGCUCACAUUGGUCUGUUGGGUGCUGCCUGGUCUUGGUAAAGUCAAGAGGCCAUUCAUCAGUGGAGAGCCACAAUGAGGGUGACCACUCAUGCCGCACAUGGCAGGACAGGACACAGAGUCCCUCCAGGAGGCCCUCUGGGUGGGGAUGCUCAGUGUCAACAGGGUCCAGGUGUCAGAACAUAGGAAUCCAGUGAGGAUAAUAAAUCUAUAAUUAUAAAAUAGCUUCAUAAAAACAUCUUGUAGAGGAAACAUACAAUUUUCUAGCCACUCUAGUCAGGAAGUAAAGCCCAGCAGAAGCCCAGAGCAGCUGGGGUGGGCACAGGGAAGUGAGACACAUCACAGCUGUCCUGGAAGCCUCUGUUUUGUCAGCCAUAAAGGGUAAGUUGGGAGAGACCCUGGUUCCCAACCUGGGGUCUCUGUCCUCAGGAUUCACACAGGCACUAUUGUCAGGAACUACUUCUAGCAUCUAAAAACUCCAUACAUUAUUCACAGUAGCCAAAAGAUAGAAACAACCUAAGUGUCCACUGAUGGAUGAAUGAACAAAAUGAGGACUAUCUAGACAAUGGGAUAUUAUUCAGCUUUUAAAAUGAAAGAAAUUCUGACACAUGCCACAACAUGGAUGAACCUUGAAGACAUUGUGCUAAGUGAAAGAAGCCAGUCAAAAAGGAUAGUAUUGUAUGAUUCCUCUUGUAUAGAAGUACCUAGAGUGGCCAAAUUCACAGACAGAAAGUAGAAUAGUAGUUACCAGGGGCUAGGAGGAGAGGGGAUGCGGUGAUAUUGUUUAUAGAUACAGAGUUGCAGUUUGGGAUAAUAAAAAAUUCUGAAAAUAGAUAGUGGUAAUGGUUACACAACAAUGUGAAUAUAUUUAAUUCCAGUCCUGUACACUUAAAAAUGGCCAAAAUGGUAAAUUCUAUAUUAUUUAUAUUUUACCACAUCCACAAAGAAACGAACUCCCCACAUACCCACAAUGUCUCACUGCUUCAUUAAAGCAUUGUCAUGCCUGUUAUCACUCAGAUCUGAAUGGGCAGGUAUAGCCUCUGAUUGAUUUUUUAGAAGAAACAAAAAUAACAGCAAAAUAUGUUAAUUGUAACCUUCAGCGAGAGCUGAAGGAGUUUUUUGGGCAGUUAUAACCUUUCAAAGCAUGACAUCUUUUGGGGGAAGACAAAGGGGCUGUGAUGGAAAGGUUGGCUUGAGUGAGUACUUUGGUAUCCCUACCCGCCCCCAGCCUCAAAUGCUGAUCUUGUACUUGGGGAGAGUUUAGUGUGUGUCCUUCAGGAGUCUCCAAAUGGCACUCCGGCUGCAGCUUCAGUUGACCAACUUCUCCCUCCCAGGAAGCAGGGAGGAGAGAGACCUUGGGCAAGGCUUUGUACCUGCAGCCCCAGUGAGCAGAUGUGUUUCCCAAU
rnacentral:lncRNA from 10 species